CAGAGUGUAGUUUAAUUAAAAAUGUUAGUUUUGGAGACUUAUGAUAGGAUGAUAUUCUUUCUCUGA
rnacentral:tRNA from 1 species